rnacentral:tRNA from 1 species
GAUAUUAUUAUAAAUAAAGUAUAUCUAAUUUCCAAUUAGAAAGUUCAUAGGUGAAUAUCUUA